rnacentral:lncRNA from 1 species
GAAGCAGUAAACACAGAAAAAAACCCUCCCCCUUUUCUGCCUAAAGGCAGGAUAUAAAUUCUCCUUUUACUGGAGAGAGACUCUUAUCAGCUCCGAGAUGGCACAAGCGGAAUCUGCACACAAACUUUAUUCCAUUCGUUCCCUCCUAUAUUUACCUUCCCACGGUUUGCCGCCUUUGGAAGCCUAAAACCGCCUCCCUUUGUCCUGUCGUUUCUCUACAAAUUUGUUGGUUUUUGUUGAAGAUGCUAUACAAGCUGGAAUUCAAAGCCGCCAUUUUGAGUUAGUCUUGGUUUCUGUUUCUCCCACGUGAUGUGCGCUGCAUGCCUUAACGAACUGUUUUUCCUCCGUUAAUCUGUCUUUUUGUUAAAGACUCCCAGCUGAAAGCCUAAGAUGGAGCGAGGUAAAGUUUUGCCUCCCCUGCACCCUCAUGGACUCAGAAGACCUCCCGGUGACUCCGGCAGAUAGCCCAAACAAUUCCAAGACCCCACCAGGCAGAAGUUGAUUUGGGGGUUCAUGCAGAUCUGGCUUCACUGACGGGGCCUUGAUGCUAAUGAGACAGUGUAGAUGACUUAUGAAUACCUGCCUCGUCGGGUCUUUCGCUGGAGGAAAGUCUUCUGAUGAGAGAUGCCGAGUAUGUGUUCUCUCCUCUAACACCCGGCUCUUCCUCCCACUCCCUCCUCCUCCUCUCCUCGGGUACGCAGAGAGUCUGUGCAAUCUGCACCGACGUCUUGAAGUUGCAGCCUGGAUACCCAUCCACACCCACACUACAACCCAAAGACUCAUGCCACCCUCGUCUCACAGUUGCCCUGGAAUUCAUGUUCUCUGAGUGACCAGCUCUUGAUGAAGACCUGCCUAAUUGUUCUACCUAGAGACUUGGACAAGAGCCUGUGAGAAAGAACUAAAGGCUUGCAAAUGUGAGCAUAAACUUAGGCCAGUGAAACACAGAGCACUUUCUCAGUCCCACCCAGACUGCAAACAUUGAUUUAGAGGUUUCCACCAAAAGCAAUAUUUUGCCUUGACCUAACAUAUUUGGCUGCACUGGCUGCACACAUAAGAUCAAGAGAGACGCCAUCUCUGAGGUGUGGUGUCUACUUGGAUGAACAUAUUCUCUUCCUAGGAUCUGUGGAUAAAGCCAACGCUUAUUAUUACUAACUGUCAGCCACUAUUCUAGGGAUGUUUUACAUGGGUUAAGUCCUUCAGUUCUUGCAACAACCCUAUAAGGUAGAUAAUAUCAUUAUCCCCAUUCUAGAGAUGAGGAAACCGAGACACAGAGAACUUGAGUAACUUGCCCAAAUUCACAAAGCAAUUAAAUUUAAUGUCUUUAAUACUUUCCAA